AAGCAGGUGGAAGGUGAAGCUAAGUAUGAAGAGGAUGAGCGAGAAGAAGGAACUAAGCACAUAGAGGAAGAGCAAGAAGAAGAAGGAACUAAGCAUGAAGAGGAAGAGCAAGAAGAAGAAGGAACUAAGCAUGAAGAGGAAGAGCGAGAAGAAGGAAACAAGCAUGAAGAUGACGAGCAAGAAGAAGAGAUAGAAGAUGAGAGGAGAGGAGGUGGAGAUGAUGAGAUAGGUGAACAUGAUCAAGAGAAACUAGGAGAAGCUGAUCACGAGGAAGAUUU
rnacentral:lncRNA from 1 species